UACUUAGGGUGCAAGCGUUGUCCGGAAUUAUUGGGCGUAAAGAGCUCGUAGGCGGUUUGUCGCGUCUGCUGUGAAAACUCGGGGCUUAACCCCGGGCCUGCAGUGGGUACGGGCAGACUAGAGUGCGGUAGGGGAGACUGGAAUUCCUGGUGUAGCGGUGAAAUGCGUAGAGAUGUGGAGGAACACCGAUGGCGAAGGCAGCCCCCUGGGCUGAGAUUGACGCUCAGGCACGAAAGCGUGGGGAGCAAACAGG
rnacentral:rRNA from 1 species